CCUCAGUGGGAAUGAUAGCGAAAGAAGAGAUGCUCGGUUGGAUACAAGCUCGGAUGAAGGAGGGCAUUAGUGGAGGGUCAGAAUUUCUGACUCGCUCCGCCAGGUGGCGCUGUAGGAGCGUCUGCGCGGGUUUGGCUAGGGGAGGUGCCGCUCUAGGCCGCGUUUCCGCCGACUCCGGGCUGGGAGAGAGCUUCCUGGAGGUGCGGCCUGGGGCUUGAGGCUUCUCGCCCCUGCAGGCACAGCGACCUGUGUACUGGCAAGCCAGCCCGGGGCCCUGGAUGGAUCGGUCACUCAGGCGCAGAGCUCGAGGCAUCAUCUGUUCAGGGAUCCCCGGCGGCUUCUCAAGGCUGGUUCUGCGUCCCUGUUCCCUUAGAAAAGAGGAACGAAGAACCCCCGGGGACAAGGAGAGCAGGUUCGGCCCUGCUGCAAUGCCGCGUUCCCUGGAGAUUCGCGUCCCCUUGCGCCGGGUUUGGCCCCUCGAGAUUCGCGUGUCCUCGGGGAAGAGAUCGGUGGUUCAGCUGCGCCCUCGGCCGCCUCUGGGCUGAGCCGACCCCCUGGGACGUCAAGCCCCCGUGUCUGCCCAGCACCCCCGCGGAAGUGAAAAGUGCGUGUCAGUAACUAGAAACUGAGGCCGGCGACGCUGUACCCAGGGCGGUGUACCCGGGCUGAGGGGCGCCAGAGCCCCCGUGACUUUCAUGCCCCCGUCCCUGACCUGCGACCCUGGCAUUGGAACCCCCAAAGUGCUGACCAAGUGCCGGUCAUUCUCAAAGUCCUUUUGACAGUAAACUCAUCCCCUCAAUAACCGUUAAAAGUGUGAAAAACUCCACUUUACAGACCAUUUGGCUGGAGUUUAAGUCGAGGAUGCUCCCAGGGCUCCAGAGGACAGAGUCUGCCUCCACCCCCGUCCUAAAGUCGGUUUCUGGUGCUUUUUCUCUGCCUAGGCCUUCUAGGAUAUGGGGCUCUCUUGGAGACAGAUGAAAACUCUCCCGUGGAUGGCUUUGCUGGUUCUGCAGCAGCCAGCGCCCCCUGGUCUCCUGCGUCAACCUGAUCUGCACACUCCCUGGUGGGCGCCUGGCUUGACUUCCUGUAGAGAAGCUGCCAGAUAUCUGUGAGGGCAGAGACAUUGACUGUUACUUGUUUUUGAACCUAUGGUGCUUGGCCCCGUGUAGAUACCCAGUAUUUGUGGGAUGAGUCCACUGUUUGUAGAAGCAUCAUGGGAGUUGUCAUGUCAGGAACAUUCUAGACCUCAGUGUCCUCAGACGAAGACUUGCUCUUGCUCAGGCUGAUCUCAAACUCAUGGCCUCAAGUGAUCCUCCCGCCUUGCCUCCCAGAGUGCUAGGAUUACAGGUGUGAGCCACUGCAUCCAACCCAAGAUGAAUUAUUAUUAGCAAGGAUGCUACCUCAGACCUGGAGAUGGUGAAGGAAGCCCCAGGGAUGGGAGCACUGCCCCUCUUGGGAUGAUGACCUGGGGAUCCCAGCCCCCUCCUCAGGGCGAGUUAAUGCCAAGACAUUAAGUCAACCUGUGUUUCUGAGAUGGAAAUUCCAACCUGCUCAUUUGACUUUUCUCUUAGAUUAUUUGGGAGUUGAUUAUGGACACCGCCAUAAUAGAGAGUGACGAAUGAUAUUGCCACAUGAUGUGUCUCCAGACCUUCUUGCCCCUGUUGCCUCAGCACAACAUGGAUCAACUUUUUGCUCCGCAGAGAGGCCCUGGGACCCUGGGAACUUGAGGUCCAGAGUAGGAGACCCUUCAGCUGGCUCAGCCUGUCCAACUAUGCCAGAGGGUACCAUGAUCCAGGAAGACCGGUUUUCUCUUGUCUCGGCCAGCCUGAUGUCCUUCUGCCUACUCCUGGUUUGACGUUUGAGGUUUUCUGCACCAUUGUCCUCUUACUUACCUUAAUAAAUCUGUAAACAUGC